UGUUUUUCCAUUCCACAUUAAAUCAUUGCUGUCGGGGAGAAGACCUCUCUGAUGCAUACACUCUUCGGGGUAACUAGUUAACGGUUAAGGUUUUCCACACAUCUACAUUAUCUAAUACAUAUUGCCACUCCGUCAGAUUAAGUUACAGAAUACAAGAAGACUAUGGUAGUUAGUUACUCCAACAACACACAGACAUACAAUCCUGUGCGAACCAUAAAAUCGGACGCAAAUCCCACUACGCCAAGCGAUUGACCUCAAUCACCUCAUGAGUCAGGCAGGCAGUCAGCAUCAUCCAUCACACGUAUCCAUAAUCUCCAAAAUUGUUGAGAAAAGGGAUCUCCGAUCUUGUCUUUAGAGCCAUAAAUUAGGGCUCUUCCUUUUUAGUACAUUAGUAUUGGGAUCCUCGUUGGUACCUUAAAAAGAGGUGUCAGCACCUAACUGGGCCAAGUGGAUUUGAUCCAUAACUUUGUUUGAGAGAUGCGCAGAAGGAACUGACCACACAGGAGCCAGGAAGUACGAAAAAGAGAGAAAUUGUUGAGUAUGGGAAGCAUAACGGCGGCUGAUGAUUGGAGGUGGCUGAUGCCGUGCCGGUGGAAUACUUACAUGUAUUCUCUACCAGGCCAUGGCUAGGGAG
rnacentral:lncRNA from 1 species